rnacentral:rRNA from 1 species
UACACUCCUGCGGGAGGCAGCAGUGGGGAAUAUUGGACAAUGGGCGCAAGCCUGAUCCAGCCAUGCCGCGUGAGUGAUGAAGGCCCUAGGGUUGUAAAGCUCUUUCACCGGUGAAGAUAAUGACGGUAACCGGAGAAGAAGCCCCGGCUAACUUCGUGCCAGCAGCCGCGGUAAUACGAAGGGGGCUAGCGUUGUUCGGAUUUACUAGGCGUAAAGCGCACGUAGGCGGACUAUUAAGUCAGGGGUGAAAUCCCGGGGCUCAACCCCGGAACUGCCUUUGAUACUGGUAGUCUUGAGUUCGAGAGAGGUGAGUGGAAUUCCGAGUGUAGAGGUGAAAUUCGUAGAUAUUCGGAGGAACACCAGUGGCGAAGGCGGCUCACUGGCUCGAUACUGACGCUGAGGUGCGAAAGCGUGGGGAGCAAACAGGAUUAGAAACCCUAGUAGUCCCAUGA